UAUGGCACAAAAGUAUCACUGAUGGG
rnacentral:misc_RNA from 1 species